CCUACGGGAGGCUGCAGUGGGGAAUAUUGCACAAUGGGCGCAAGCCUGAUGCAGCCAUGCCGCGUGUAUGAAGAAGGCCUUCGGGUUGUAAAGUACUUUCAGUCGUGAGGAAGGUGUUAAGGUUAAUAACCUUAGCAAUUGACGUUAGCGACAGAAGAAGCACCGGCUAACUUCGUGCCAGCAGCCGCGGUAAUACGGAGGGUGCGGGCGUUAAUCGGAAUUACUGGGCGUAAAGGGCACGCAGGCGGUUUAAUAAGUUGGGUGGGAAAGUCCCGGGCUUAACCGUGGAAUGGCAUUUGAAACUGGUUUGGUUGGGUGCUGAUAGGGGGGGGUGAAUUCCAUGUGUAGCGGUGAAAUGCGGAGAGAUGAUGAAGAAUUCCGGUGGCGAAGGCAGGCCCCCUGACAACGACUGACGCUCAUGGGCGAAAGCGUGGGUAGCAAACAGGAUUAGAUACCCUGGUAGUC
rnacentral:rRNA from 1 species